rnacentral:rRNA from 1 species
AGAAUCAACGCUGGCGGCGUGCCUAACACAUGCAAGUCGAACGAGAAAGUGGGAGCAAUCCCAUUAGUAAAGUGGCGCACGGGUGAGUAACACGUGACUAACCUACCCUUGAGUGGGGGAUAACCUAGGGAAACCUGGGCUAAUACCGCAUAAUACCUACGGGUCAAAGGAGCAAUUCGCUUUAGGAGGGGGUCGCGGCAGAUUAGUUAGUUGGCGGGGUAAUGGCCCACCAAGACAGUGAUCUGUAUCCGGCCUGAGAGGGCGCACGGACACACUGGAACUGAAACACGGUCCAGACUCCUACGGGAGGCAGCAGUGGGGAAUUUGCGCAAUGGGGGAAACCCUGACGCAGCAACGCCGCGUGGAGGAUGAAGCCCCUUGGGGCGUAAACUCCUUUCGAUCGGGAAGAUAAUGGACGGUACCGGAAGAAGAAGCCCCGGCUAACUUCGCGCCAGCAGCCGC